rnacentral:rRNA from 1 species
AGCCUACGGGAGGCAUCAGUGAGGAAUCUUGGUCACUGGCCUCGAGGCUGAACCAGCCAAGUCGCGUGAGGGAAGACGGCCCUACGGGUUGUAAACCUCUUUUGUCGGGGAGCAAAGCGAGUCACGUGUGACUCAUUGAGAGUACCCGAAGAAAAAGCAUCGGCUAACUCCGUGCCAGCAGCCGCGGUAAUACGGAGGAUGCGAGCGUUAUCCGGAUUUAUUGGGUUUAAAGGGGGCGCAGGCGGAGGUGCAAGUCAGCGGUCAAAUUGCGGGGCUCAACCCCGUACUGCCGUCGAAACUGCAUC